rnacentral:rRNA from 1 species
UUAAAACUCAAAGGACUUGGCGGUGCUUUAUACCCUUCUAGAGGAGCCUGUUCUAUAAUCGAUAAACCCCGAUAAACCUCACCAUUCCUUGCUAAUCCAGUCUAUAUACCGCCAUCUUCAGCAAACCCUAAAAAGGUACAAAAGUAAGCACAAUCAUAAUACAUAAAGACGUUAGGUCAAGGUGUAACCUAUGGAAUGGAAAGAAAUGGGCUACAUUUUCUAAUAUAAGAAAAUCCACUACGAAAGUUAUUAUGAAAUUAGUAACCAAAGGAGGAUUUAGCAGUAAACUAAGAAUAGAGUGCUUAGUUGAAUUAGGCCAUGAAGCACGCACACACCGCC